rnacentral:lncRNA from 1 species
AGGUGAAGGUUUAUCCUGAUGGGUCUAACGAGGCUGUUGAGUUUGGAGCUGGGGACAUGGUUGUAUUUCCGAAAGGAAUGAGCUGCACUUGGGAUGUCUCAGAAACUGUGGACAAGCACUAUCUGUUUGAAUAGAAGUGAGAUUUAUGAACUAGCAAGGAGAUGGGAUAUGGCAUUAAAACUUUAGACAAAUAAGCCAUCCUCCGGGAUGAAGCCUAUAUGAAUAAUAUUAAUGUACUAGUAAAUAUGAUGUGUAGAGCAGUGAUCCACUAGUAAAUAUGAUGAAUUAUGCUAUUCAAGUAUCGAAUUAUGGAG